rnacentral:lncRNA from 1 species
AAGCAAGGCAUAUUUUCGGUGAAAUCUGCAUAUUAUGCACUCACUCACACACAAUCAGCUAUCUCAACCUCAACUGCAUCAACAUCACACCAAAUUCCUACCUGGUUAUGGCGCUCUAUCUAGAAAAUGCCUGCUGCACCCAAAAUCCGAGUAUUUCUAUGGUCCAUCUGCAAUAAUGCCUUGGCGACGAGAGAAAACCUGUAUCGACGACACAUAUUAGACAGUCCUUGCUGCACAUUGUGUAAAAGAAAGACUCCAGAAACUUUAGAGCAUUUACUCUUACUCUGCUCGUGGACUCAACAGGUGUGGAAUCAUCCCCAGAUCCGGAUUUCAAUCCUUCCCAUUAACAUCCACCGUCUGGAUUCAUGGAUCGCUUCUACGAUUGGGACAGGAAAUCGAUUACCUCAGCUGGCCUUUAU